AGACGUCUACAUUAGAUACCCCCUGUAGUCCCAGCCGUAAACUAUGCUCGCUAGGUGUCAGGCAUGGCGCGACCGUGUCUGGUGCCGCAGGGAAACCGUGAAACGUGCCGCCUGGGAAGUACGGUCGCAAGGCUGAAACUUAAAGGAAUUGGCGGGGAGCACCACAACGGGUGGAGCCUGCGGUUUAAUUGGACUCAACGCCGGGAAGCUCACCGGAUAAGACAGCGGAAUGAUUGCCGGGCUGAAGACUCUGCAUGACUAGCUG
rnacentral:rRNA from 1 species